CCGCGCCAGGAGCAGGCUUCGCACAAACUAUCUGGUUUCAAGUUGUGAGUCUCCGGAGUCCCUGGGAAGGUGCCCCAGGGACAGGACUCCCUUUGCAGGGCCCGAGGAUUGAUGAGAAUCCCCCCAACCCCAGCCACCCAGAGGAUAAGCAGAAUCUGCUAUGGAGAACAAUGGAGAAGGUUUUCACCUACAGAGCUGCUGCCUUAUCUCCUGCAGAAGACCUCUCUGCAUUCCCAGCCACCAGCGACCACCAACCCAAACAAGCCAGCUGAGACUCUCAUCCCCACCACAGCUGGAGCCUCUCUCCCUUUCUCCCCCUUUGGCCUCAGGCUAAUCUAGCUCAUAUGCCCCCCCCGACUUUGUUCUCAGCCCUUCUGGGGCUCCCAUAGUCCAGCAUGGGUGCCCAAGAGCCUGAGAACCAGAAGAGCUAGCUCUGAUUCCCUGCAGGACCUCAGACUGUGUUCCUCCACCUCUGGAGCAGGGUUCCGCGGCUUCACAUAGCCUGAUGCCUGACCAGCGCUGCUGUGGGGAGAGCACCGACAAACUUCCCGUGCCUCUGUCUUCCCCGAGUGGCCCUAGCCCCCCAGUGAGCCAGAUGUGGCACACACAUCAACCCAACAACUGGUCUGGGACCCCCACACAUCAAUCCAACAGGUGCUGCCAUCCAUUGUUCAAGUACAAGGAGAUGGGAAACUCAUACACACAGGGUUGUAGGAAGUGGAAAACCUGAGAUUGUUCUUGGGAGGGAGCCAGAGCCCAGAGCCAAUCUCUACAGAAAUUCAUCCUGUCUACACUGCUGAGCCGAGCAUCACAACGUUCUUUGUGCUCUCUUGUUUGAUGCUGUGUUCCUCCCAGGAGGUUUUCACUUCAGCAACUAAGUACAUGGCUGAAUGACUGAACUCCAGGCAGGUGUGUGUCACAGAGACAAUGUUCAUUAAAAGAGUAGCUUUGUUGCUGGGACACAAGGAUAGCCAGGGCUGGCCAGUCAGAAACAAAGCCAAGAAGUACGUGCCUUGCUGAGGGAAAGAGCCCCUAAAAGCUAACAGGGAAGGAGUAUGCCAGAGUAAGUCUCUUGAACUGGGGUAAUGGUAACUCAUUUAAGUUUUCUGAGUCCUGGGGCCCUGUGAUAACCUGUCCUCACAGCCCUGACUUACUAUAUUCCUAAGUGAGUUGGGAGAAAUUCAAUUCAUGUGUUCCCGGGCAAUUUACUUGAUUUUCAGGAAAACACCACAGUUGUGUAUGAGGCAUCGGAUGGUGCUGGUAAUGCUUUCUUUGUUCCAUUUGCAGUCCAGUCCUGAUGGAAAGCCAGCUGGUCCAUUACAGGGCCUCAUCCACCUCUUCUGCAGAGCGCCUUAUUGUAAUCCAUGAUAUCUGUGGACUCAAAUAGACUAUUAAUUUAUUUUAUUGAGACUUUAGUAUUUCAUUAUGAAUAUUAUUUGGCACUGCCUAAAUAAAUGUUUUUCCAAGAAA